rfam:Callithrix jacchus chromosome 6, whole genome shotgun sequence
GUUGUUGCCAUGGUAAUCCUGUACAGUAUAAGAGGAACCACAAGUUCAGACAUUUGUUGUAUGUGCUUGGCUGAGGAGCCAAUGAGGCAAAACUAGCAUCUGUGGGAUUAUGACUGAAUGACUCUAAGUCCAAAUCCCACCCAGGUGGAACAAU